AUUGAACGCUGGCGGCAUGCCUUACACAUGCAAGUCGAACGGCAGCACGGGAGCAAUCCUGGUGGCGAGUGGCGAACGGGUGAGUAAAGUAUCGGAACGUGCCCGGUCGUGGGGGAUAACGUAGCGAAAGUUACGCUAAUACCGCAUACGAUCUAUGGAUGAAAGCGGGGGAUCGCAAGACCUCGCGCGAUUGGAGCGGCCGAUAUCAGAUUAGGUAGUAGGUGGGGUAAAGGCUCACCAAGCCGACGAUCUGUAGCUGGUCUGAGAGGACGACCAGCUACACUGGGACUGAGACACGGCCCAGACUCCUACGGGAGGCAGCAGUGGGGAAUUUUGGACAAUGGGCGCAAGCCUGAUCCAGCCAUGCCGCGUGCAGGAUGAAGGCCUUCGGGUUGUAAACUGCUUUUGUACGGAACGAAAAGGUUUGACUUAAUACGUUGGACUCAUGACGGUACCGUAAGAAUAAGCACCGGCUAACUACGUGCCAGCCGCCGCAGUAA
rnacentral:rRNA from 1 species